AACAUUUACUCAUCAAAUGCUCUAGUCUGAAUCUUAUUUUAAAUGAAUUUAAUGAUAUGUUUAAUGAGCAAUAUUAAUUGCACACAGAGUAAGUAGAGAUUAUCUUGUUUUACAGAAGAGAAGAUCAAGGAAAUUAUUUGUUCAGGAUGAGGAAUGAAGACGGCCAUCUUGUGCCCAAACGAAGACAGAAAGCUGUCCACUGAUGAUCUCAUCAGCCAAAUGAGGGGUUUUGACCAAGUGAUGGUCUUGAAAGGAAUGAAAGAAGAGGAUGUGGUAAAUUGUCUUCAAAGAAAAAGCUUCUCAAAAGGUCUUAAAACAGCUUGAAGAAUGGUAUGUGUCCAGUACUUCAAGGGUCAUAGUUGUUCACACUGCUAAAAUCACACAGAACAUUAAACUGUCUGACUGUCCAUUAAACAACUUCAUCUGAAUUGUUUGUGUUUUUUGUUUUACUUUGACCAGGUCUGGGAACUGUCUGAAAAUGGGAUGUUAGGACUGAGAGAUCCUCUGGCUGAGAAAAAGCUACACCAGAUCAGUGCUGGAUAUCAACCACAAACUGUUUCCAGACACGAGAGAAGAAGAUCAUGAUGGGGAAAUGAAACCAGUUUAGAUGUGAUGAUAAGGAAUCAUUAUUUUCUGAAACAGUAUCACAUGUCUUAUAUGUAUCACAUGAUCUGUAUCACAGUUGCCUGGAUGGGAUUGUGUGACUUUUUAAGGACAUUUCAUUACUC
ensembl:lncRNA